UUUUUUAUUGACAUAUCCAGUAGCCGAUAUUCCCGAUAUUCAAAGUUUCCAAGAUAAGGAUCGAAUAUUAUAAUUCAAACACCGCCCUCUUCUCUUUGAUGCACAGAAGCUCUGGCUUUGGGUCCCAAUGGCAUCUUCAAUAGUUCGGUCCCCACUAAACCCGAUUUCCCGCCACGUCACCUGUAAACCCUCGCCGUCCGAUCACAGAUCUAGAACCACCGCCGCCGCCGCCGCCGUCACGAUUCACCAGCCUUACCCUAAACAACGCCGCCGUCGUAAUGUCCCGGUUCUUGCAUGUUCUCUCCAAUCACACAACGCCGACGACAAUCACAACGUCGUAGGAGGGAGGAGCAAGACCGAAUUGCAGAGGAUCCCAGAUGAUUCCCCUUACGACGACGUUUCCAAGGACCCUAAUAACAACACUAAUAUGCUCCCAAGACCUUUAUCUUCAACUCAGUCUUCUAACUCUGUUUCCCACCUUCGAGUUGCUUAUCAGGGAGUUCGUGGGGCAUACAGUGAGUCAGCAGCGGAGAAGGCGUACCCAUAUUGCGAAGCAGUGCCUUGCGAGCAAUUCGAAACUGCUUUUGAAGCUGUUGAAAGGUGGCUUGUUGACAGAGCAGUUUUACCAAUUGAGAAUUCGUUAGGUGGGAGCAUCCACAGAAAUUAUGAUCUUUUACUCCGGCACAGAUUGCAUAUUGUAGGCGAAGUUAAAUUUGCAGUUCGGCAUUGCUUAAUGGCCAAUAAUGGUGUUAAACUUGAAGACCUGAAAAGGGUUCUUAGUCAUCCGCAGGCUCUUGCUCAGUGUGAGCACACGCUAACAAGGUUGGGGUUGGUCAGAGAAGCAGUUGAUGACACUGCUGGAGCUGCAAAGCAUGUUGCAUUCCACAAACUAAAUGAUACAGGAGCAGUAGCUAGCUCUACAGCUGCAAUGAUCUAUGGGUUGAACAUACUUGCCCAAGAUAUUCAGGACGACUCUGAUAAUGUUACUCGAUUUCUAAUGCUGGCGAGGGAACCCAUAGUUCCAGGCACAGAUAAGCCAUUCAAGACAAGUAUAGUUUUCUCACUAGAGGAAGGUCCUGGAGUGCUUUUCAAGGCACUUGCUGUUUUUGCUCUGCGGGAAAUCAACCUUACUAAGAUUGAAAGUCGUCCCUUGCGGAAGCAGCUUGUAGGAGCAUCUGAUGAUAAUAACAAUGGAUAUCCAAAAUACUUUGACUAUCUUUUCUAUGUGGACUUUGAAGCAUCAAUGGCUGACCAGAAUGCACAGAACGCUCUAGGGCAUCUAAGGGAAUUUUCUACAUACCUUCGAGUGCUAGGGAGUUAUCCUGUGGAUACUAUCAUGUUAUGAAUGAAAUCUAAAUGUGGAAGACAUCUCAUGGUGCAUAGAGCUUAUUGACGAAGUAGUUUCAACCAUGGCCAGAUAACAUUGCCAAUAACCUUUAGGUCAAAUGGCAUUUCCUAUUGGCUAUUGUUCUAACUGAGAUAUCAAGGUCUUCUGGAGAGAUCAAUAAUGUUAUAUCGGUAGUUGUUUCCCUUCAUAGCUUUUGUUUGUCUCCAUCCUCAAAUUUCCGGAAUAUUGAUCGACAUGAAGAUUUAUUAAAGAACGUUACAUGUUUGUGGCCAAUGCUGUGAAUCACUGCACCACCAAAUUUUGGUUGUUUCAUCAAUGCGACUGUGUUGUCUUCUCUCAAUGUUGUCCUUGUAAUUACUAGAUUAGUUGGUACUUUAAAGAUUCCCUUUUUCAGAGAGGUGGGAGCUUUUCAUGUGAUCGAGGUUUUCUUUGGAAUAUUUAUUGGUUUUUUUUUUUUUUUCCUGCUUAUUCAAUAUAUUCUAUUGGUUCAUUUGAUUGUUCACACUGAUGUAUUUCACUGAAGCAUAAAUUUAAUAUACCAGAUAUCUCUUCUUAACAUUCAAA